UGAAAACACUGGUUCCCGUACGAUCACCGAAGUUAAGCAACGUUGUGUCCGGUCAUUACCUACAUGUCUGUCCGCUUGGGAAUACCAGGCGCUGGA